UGUUAUACCACUGUCCCAGGUUAGGGGAUGGUUGGGAUCCCGCUAACAUGUUUAACCCCGCCACAUUAUUUAUGUAUGUGCCUGUCCCAAGUCAGGAGCCUGUAAUUCAGUGGUUGUCAUUUGUUUAUGUGUUACAUAUUUGUUUUUCGUUCAUUUUUUUAUAUAUAAAUAAUGCCGUUAGUUUUUUCGUUUGAAUUGUUUUACAUUGUCUUAUCGGGGCCUUUUAUAGCUGACUGUGCGGUAUGGGCUUUGCUCAUUGUUGAAG
rnacentral:lncRNA from 1 species